rnacentral:rRNA from 1 species
AGGGUGUAAACGCUGCGGGCUUGGCGUUGGGGGUCCUUUGAGGGCGCCCAGUGCCGGAGAGAAGUUGUUAAGCCUGCUGCUUGGGGAGUACGUCCGCAAGGAUGAAACUUAAAGGAAUUGGCGGGGGAGCACCGCAACGGGAGGAGCGUGCGGUUCAAUUGGAUUCAACGCCGGACAACUCACCAGGAGCGACGGUUACAUGAAGGCCAGGCUGAUGACCUUGCCUGAUUUUCCGAGAGGAGGUGCAUGGCGUCAGUGACU